rnacentral:rRNA from 1 species
UACGUAGGGGGCUAGCGUUGUCCGGAUUUAUUGGGCGUAAAGAGCGUGUAGGCGGCCAGGUAGGUCUGGUGUGAAAACUCGAGGCUUAACCUCGAGAUGUCAUCGGAAACCAUCUGGCUAGAGUCCGGAAGAGGAGAGUGGAAUUCCUGGUGUAGCGGUGAAAUGCGUAGAGAUCCGGAAGAACACCAGAGGCGAAGGCGGCCUGCUGGGCCUUGUCUGACGCUGAGGCGCGAAAGCGUGGGGAGCGAACAGG